rnacentral:rRNA from 1 species
UGACGCAUAUUGGUCAAUGGGCGAKAGCCUGAACCAKCCAUCCCGCGUGCAGGAUGACGGCCCUACGGGUUGUAAACUGCUUUUAUGUACCAAGAAUGUGUUSUACGUGUAGGAUUUUGACGGUAGUACAUGAAUAAGCAUCGGCUAACUCYGUGCCAGCAGCCGCGGUAAUACGGAGGAUGCAAGCGUUAUCCGGAUUCAUUGGGUUUAAAGGGUGCGUAGGCGGCUAUAUAAGUCAGUGGUGAAAUGCUGCAGCUCAACUGUAGAACUGCCAUUGAAACUGUCUAGCUUGAGUGCGCCUGAGGUAGGCGGAAUGAGUAGUGUAGCGGUGAAAUGCUUAGAUAUUACUCAGAACACCGAUUGCGAAGGCAGCUUACUAAAGCGUAACUGACGCUGAUGCACGAAAGCGUGGGGAGCGAACAGGAUUAGAUACCCUGGUAGUCCACGCCGUAAACGAUGAUAACUCGCUGUUGGCGAUACACAGUCAGCGGCUAAGCGAAAGCAUUAAGUUAUCCACCUGGGGAGUACGAUCGCAAGGUUGA